UACGUAGGGGCCGAGCGUUGUCCGGAGUUAUUGGGCGUAAAGCGCGCGCAGGCGGCCUCGCGCGCCCGACGUGAAAGCCCCCGGCUUAACCGGGGAGGGUCGUUGGGGACGGCGGGGCUUGAGGGCGGGAGAGGUCGGUGGAAUUCCCGGUGUAGUGGUGAAAUGCGUAGAGAUCGGGAGGAACACCUGUGGCGAAGGCGGCCGACUGGGCCGACCCUGACGCUGAGGCGCGAAGGCGUGGGGGAGCGAACGGG
rnacentral:rRNA from 1 species